rnacentral:rRNA from 1 species
CCGAGUUUACAACUCCCAAACCCAAUGUGAACCAUACCAAACUGUUGCCUCGGCGGGGUCACGCCCCGGGUGCGUCGCAGCCCCGGAACCAGGCGCCCGCCGGAGGGACCAACCAAACUCUUUUCUGUAGUCCCCUCGCGGACGUUAUUUCUUACAGCUCUGAGCAAAAAUUCAAAAUGAAUCAAAACUUUCAACAACGGAUCUCUUGGUUCUGGCAUCGAUGAAGAACGCAGCGAAAUGCGAUAAGUAAUGUGAAUUGCAGAAUUCAGUGAAUCAUCGAAUCUUUGAACGCACAUUGCGCCCGCCAGUAUUCUGGCGGGCAUGCCUGUCCGAGCGUCAUUUCAACCCUCGAACCCCUCCGGGGGGUCGGCGUUGGGGACCUCGGGAGCCCCUAAGACGGGAUCCCGGCCCCGAAAUACAGUGGCGGUCUCGCCGCAGCCUCUCCUGCGCAGUAGUUUGCACAACUCGCACCGGGAGCGCGGCGCGUCCACGUCCGUAAAACACCCAACUUUCUGAAAUGUUGACC